rnacentral:lncRNA from 1 species
ACAGUUUGAAAAAAAUUGGUGGCGGAAAGCCAAGAGAACAUGUUUUUUGAUCAUGAAAAGGUUAUUUUCGAUCAGUUACAGUCCAAAUUAAAUC